UCGCUGGUGCUGGCACAGGAGCUUGGGAUCUGUCUCCUCUUUCGCCUCCUGCACCUUGAGAGCCCUGGGCUACUCUGUCACAGCCCCUGUUGCCCUGCGAUCUGUAGGUCCUUGGGGACGCAUAGUUAAGGUGCCAGGACAUCCUGGAAGCUGGGAAAUGAUUUUUGCAGUGGCAGGACCAAGUUCAAAUGAGUCAUAGCCAAGUUUACAGUAAGAUGUGGUAGUAUUCUGUUUUGAACCGAGGACCAUGAUUGGCAAGCUUGCCACUUGGUCAAGUGCUUACCCUCUAAAGAUGUCUUCCUUGGUCUUUGCCUCCAGCUGGGUGUCACAAACUCUGAACUGGAUUCUAAGGCUUUCAUGAAUGCACUUAUGUUUCCCGUGGCAGCUGCAUUAUGUUGUGGGGGAUGUGCAUGCCGAACCUCCCAUUCUGUCGUCUUGCUUAUGUUACUCUCCUUUAUGUUUCACUUUCUCAAAUGAAUGUCAAGCUGGUGAUUUUUAGAUUCAAAAAUUCUAAAAUAAAUUGCUCAAAUUUCCACAUUAUGUAAGCUAUUAAUAAAAUGUCUUGUAGGUGCUACAUAUUUAUUAAAAUUUUUGGUUGUAAUUUUAAGCUCACUGCAGGCAGAAAGGAAUCAUUAACAUUUAUAUUCUUUUUUUUAGUCUGUAUCUAAAUGAUGGUAUAUUUUAAUUCCAGAUAUUUACUUUAUACUGCAGUAAUGCUCGUCAUAUUUUGCAAAAUUUAUGUUGUUCUUUUAUUUGGAAAUAUAAGGCUUUUUUAGCUCUUGAAAUCUAUAUUAUAGUCAUAUAAUUUUAUUAUGUUUUGUGGUAAGAAGUGCAGCAACAUAUUGAGAACAUAAUAAAAUUAUCCUGUAUUUUUAAUGAUUAUUUAUUAAAUUCCUCUCAUUAGAGCCUGUUAUUAAUGAUUGUAAUGUAUUUUCUGUAUAAUUUUACUGCAAUUUAUUAAAUUCUAAUGACUUAAAUUGUCUGCUUUUCAUGAGUGCACACAGUUGAAUGCUGUAGAUAUCUAAAGAAUUAUUUUUCGGCCGGUUGUGGUGGCUCAUGCCUGUAUUCCCAGCACCUUGGGAGGCCAAGGCGGGUGGAUCACGAGGUCAGGAGAUCGAGACAACCCUGACUAACAUGGUGAAACCCCGUCUCUACUAAAUAUACAAAAAAUUAGCCGGGCAUAGUGGCAGGCGCCUGUAUCCCCAGCUACUCAGGAGGCUGAGGCAGGAGAAUGGCGUGAACUCAGUGGACAGAGUUUGCAGUGAGCCGAGAUCGCGCCACUGCACUCCAGCCUGGGCAACAGGGCAAGACUCUGUCUCAAAAAAAA
rnacentral:lncRNA from 1 species